rnacentral:rRNA from 1 species
UACGAAGGGGGCUAGCGUUGCUCGGAAUGACUGGGCGUAAAGGGCGCGUAGGCGGAUGGCAUAGUCAGAUGUGAAAUUCCCGGGCUUAACCUGGGGACUGCAUUUGAUACGUGUCGUCUUGAGUUCGGAAGAGGGUCGUGGAAUUCCCAGUGUAGAGGUGAAAUGCGUAGAUAUCGGAAGGAACACCUGUGGCGAAAGCGGCUCACUGGACCAUUACUGACGCUGAGGCACGA